rnacentral:lncRNA from 10 species
CGCCUCUGCCUCCGCGCGCCUGCCCACGCGCUCCGGUACUCGCUGCUCGCGGCUGGCCGGCUCGGGAUUCCGGGCUUUCUUCCCGAGACCGCGUCCCCCAGCUGGGCCGAAGGUGGACGCUCAGGGGCUGGAGGCUCAGCGGAAUCCCCUGCGUUCAGUAGCCCCGCUCUCCCCUGUCCCGAAGGAUUACUCUGCCCCUCAGCGGUUCCAGUGCCCUCAAAGCAAUCUGUCUCUGAAGUACUGGCUAUCUUCUGAGCGUGUGCCAGAAGAUCCAGCUUUGUUGAAAAGCGAAGCCGUUAGUCCCUUAAUACAAAGGAGACAAAUUGAUUUAUGCCUGGGGCACCAUCACCAAAAGAAGAGGAAAUGGAUGCAAGCCUUCCCAGAACAACAGGCGUGCCCUGAAUUCUUUCUUGGGCGAGAUCCACGAACCGUCUCUUGGGGUCUGGAUUGGGACCCCUUUCCGGUAACAAGAAGAAGUGAAAUGUGCACUUAUGAGCCUGGAUCUUCAGACACAGAGCUGUGCCUCCUUCACACUCUCUUUUCCCUUCCCUCCAUCUAGAAUCCAUAUACUUUUAUCAUAUUAUGCAGAUAAUGACAAUGCAGAGCUACGGUUUAGAAAUAACCUGGGUUGUUGAAUAACAAGAGAACAGAGCUGCCCUGCUGGCCAGGAUUAUUUAUAUCUUAGCUGUUGUGAAAGGGGUGGGGAGAGAGAGAGAGAGACAGACAGAGACAGAGAGCAUCUUUUUCCUUUAAACCACUGCAUUUUGGAUUUUGGGACUCUGUUAUACUAGCUAGGCAUUACCCUAACUAAUGCAUAUGAAAAUGGAUGUAGGUACUGCAAUGGUGAUGGAGGGGUGCGGUGGGUGGAAGUAAAAAUGCUUAAAGAGGAGUUUUAGAGAAACUUGCUUAUGUGAUAUAUAAUGCAAUAGUCUUAUUUUUUCCUGAGUAACCUCUAGUCAUAAGUCUUCAUUACUUCUCAUUGCAGAUUCUGGCUUUUAUUUUUCCCAAAAAUGUCAAUAGGCUGAGCUCAAUCUUAUAUAAGCAUACGGUAAUUUAACAAGGUCUACUUGCAUGUGGGUUACAGAAUUAUUACUCCAUUUUUAGACAGGAAACUGAAGUUAUAUAGCAAAUAACUGAUGAAAACAGUAUUUCAAUCCUGACUUAUCAGACUCCAAAGCCAUUUCCCACCUAAAUAGUUAUUAGGUUUAUUUUUCCCUUGAAACAUGUGAGUAUAGUAGAGAUUUUAUUCUCUGUGUUGUCAUCUUUAGAGUAGGGAAACCCCACUCCAUCCAAUGGCAGGUGAUGGUCCACAGGGAUGCAGUACAGAAUGUGGCCAAGACUCUUAAGACUAAUGUUCUCUUUGGAGAAAGACAAGUGAGAAACUUCAGCCAAGUCAUCCUCUUGCCAAAAUUACUCCUUGGAUGAAAUUAUGACUCAUUUGGAAUCUUUAUUAAUUAAUUUGAUGAGGGAACAGCCGGGCUGAUAACCAUCUAUGCAGAAUGAUAAAAGUGGCUCAUACUUCAUCCAGAAAUCAAAGAAGGAAUGAAAACAGGUUUAAAAUUGGCAAAACACUGCAGCAUUCUCGGACUGGCCCCAGGGGCUUCAUUUCUGGCCAAAAUUGUAACACAAUUAACAGUAUUUGCAUAUCCCUUUGAAAAAUAUAUAUGCAAGCUCGG